UGUUUCUUGCGAGCGAUCGAGGUGAUCCGGCGGAGCUAGGGCACGGCAGCGGGGGAAUUGGUUCGCAUCUCUCUCGGUAGAUUGAGCUCUCUCAGUUCUUCUCCUCUAUCUGUUCACUGGAGUUUGACUUGCAACUCCAAAAUUGCUGGAUCGAAGUGGGCGACAUCACCAGGGAGAGUUUAAUUGAGAGGAAGCAUUGGACCAGUAUGUGGUGGAUCUUCCCAGUUGCCGGUCACUGCCAAGUCCAUUUCUUGGAGUUGUGGAGGUCUCGGCUGAAGAGUUAGGGAUCUGUUUGAGCUUCUGGCAGUGGGUUGUAGGGUUGUUAGCUACUGGUUUGCUGCCAUCCCUCAAGGACUUGGAUUCGGGACGAGCGUCUCGACAUGGGAUUUUCGGAUGACGAUCGACAGAUAAGGCGGGUAUUUCUUCCUUUACCUCUAUGUAGAAUUUCUUGUACUUAGUGCAUGGUUGUUAUCCGAUGGAUCAGACUGCUUUACCUUAUAUCAUAUCUGUUUGUUGACCUCCUGUUAGAGACUUAUGCUUGAUCUUUGAGGUGUUCCAUUUAAUUCAUAUACAGUCUCAACUCUUGAUAUCUACUCUAUUGUGAUUACACGUGUAGAGUAUGUCUUGUAGGGAUU